AUUGAACGCUGGCGGCAUGCCUUACACAUGCAAGUCGAGCGCGAGGCGGGCGGGUGAGUAAUAUAUCGGACAGUUCCCCGUAGCGGGGGAUAACUCCUCGACAGAGGAGCUAAUACCGCCCACUCUUUGCGCGGCCGCUAUCGGAUUAGAUAGUUGGUGGGGUAAAGGCUCACCACGGCAACGAUCCGUAGCUGGUUUGAGAGGAGGACCAGCCACACUGGGACUGAGACACGGCCCAGACUCCUACGGGAGGCAGCAGUGGGGAAUUUUGGACAAUGGGGGAAACCCUGAUCCAGCCAUGCCGCGUGUAUGAGAAGGCCUUCGGGUUGUAAAGUACUUUUGGCAGGGAAGCGGUAUCUGUAGAAGAAGCACCGGCUAAAUACGUGCCAGCAGCCGCGGUAAUUC
rnacentral:rRNA from 1 species